AAUGAAACAGAUAUACAAUUAGUUUUGAGAAAAAACUAACAAAAUAGAAAAAAACUUUACUUCACGUAACGAAAGCUUCGCUUGCGUUGAUUUCCUGGAAUGAACUUUAAACAGCCUCUCUUAAAACCCCAGCAAAAAUCUGCCACCAUAUGGGUGUCCAUCUUCCUUGGUAGCGGUCCUCAAUAGUUUUUAUCUCUAGGUGAAGUCUCUCACCUUGCUCCUCACUUGUGUCACCUAAGUUUUCAGGGAAACGGACCAGGUGGCUGUGAAAAUAGUUGACUUUGAUGCUCAUAUUCCAUCCAAGUGAUUGGAAGUUAUUCAGCAAACGGUUUACCAGCUCA
rnacentral:lncRNA from 1 species